AUGGCGGAGAACAUCGAUCUGGUGCUGGAGUUCCUCAAGAAGAACCGGUUCGCCAAGGCCGAGGCCGCCCUCCGCGGGGAGCUCAGCGCCACCACCAACGGGCAGACGCAUAGGCGUGCGCCCUCGCCCUCGCCCAAGGAGGAGGACGAGCGGGAAGGCUCUGAGGCGGGCUCCGCCGCGGGGCCGAGAGGCGCCGCUUCUUCCGUGAGAAGCGCCGACUCGUCCAGGGAGUUCAUUGUCAAGGAGAUUGACGUCGGAGGCCUGGCAAAUGGAUCUGAUGGGAAGAAGGGGCUCGGGAUUGGCCUGCCUCUGGAGAACACCAACACAGGGGAUCUGUACCCGUGGAACUUCAGCAUUGCCAACAGCACCGUGGAGCAGCUGGCCGAGCUUCUGGUGUCUGAGGAAGUGCCAAGGCAUCGCCGCACAUCGUUAACUGAGAAGAGGGACCGGGGUGUUGGAACCGAGCAGCCUGUUCCGGUGCUGGAGCAGAAGGUCUCGUUUGGAAGAGGGAAGGGCAAAGUUGACACCGCAGGGAGAAGUGAAGUCAGUGAACCAGGCCAUUCGAGUGACAAGAAUCUGGUCCCAGAAAAGGAGGAGCCCUUGAAUGGCUAUGCAGUCAAGACGGUGCUUCCGUUUCCUACAGAAAUCCCGUCGUCUAGUUAUCAUAGUACUCACCAGGAUGGAAAUGAGAGGAAAGAUACGAAGAAGAGCGUCAAUGCCGAUGGUUCGGGAAAAGCAGCAAAGAGGCAACCUGAUGAGGGGAACAGGCAGUAUUACUCGGGGAAGUCCCAGAGUAAUGUGGAUCACGUUGCUGACCGUUGCUUCGACCUGCAGCUUAUGGGAAAUAGCCAACGCGAAGAGUUUCCGAAGUUGCCUCCUGUGCGGCUCAAGUCCGAGGAUAAGCUUGUUAAUAUGAACUGGGAGGAGAAGAUCGAUCAUCAUGGAUCUGGAUCCAACGACCCUAGUACUGACCAUGUCUUUAUGAUUGGGUCUUAUCUUAAUGUUCCCAUUGGGCAGGACAUUACAUCAUCAGGUGGAAGACGCAUGGUUGGCAGUAGUUGGUUAUCCGUCAGCCAAGGCAUUGCAGAGGAUACUCCUGACAUGGUUUUUGACACACUUGGUGAUGAUUUGCUUGAGUAUCCAAAUGAGUAUUGGGACUCUGAUGAGUAUGACGAUGACGACGAUGUUGGCUACACCCGACAACCAAUUGAGGAUGAAACUUGGUUUCUUGCACAUGAGAUUGACUAUCCUAGUGACAAUGAGAAGCCAACUGGUCACACAAGUGGUGCUGAUCGACAUGAUCGUCCUACAAAGGAUGAUGACGAUGACCAAUCAUUUGUUGAAGAAGAUUCUUACAUAUCUGGUGAGCAGUAUUUUCAUGGGAAAAACAUCGCACCGAUAGGUACUUCGGAGCGGCCAAUAGGACAUGGGAUUCCUGAUAAUGAUAUGAUAGCCCAGUAUGAUGGUCAACUUUUGGAUUCAGAAGAACUAAAUUUGAUGCAUUCUGAACCAGUAUGGCAGGGUUUUGUGUCACAGAAUAGUGAACUAGGCAUGUUAGGAAAUGGGAAAUUCCUUAAUGAUUCUGCACGACCUCAUCCUGAUGACCCUUUUGUUGAGGAUGAUCAGCACGGUUCAGUCAGGUCAAUUGGUGUUGGUAUAAGUAGUGAUGCUGCUGACAUUGGAAGUGAGGUGCGUGAAAGUCUGAUUGGAGGAAGCAGUGAAGGGGACAUAGAAUACUUCAACGAAAGUAAUCUGAGUGUUAGUGGAAAGAGACACUCUCAGCAAGAAGCAGAAAAGAAAAAGGUUAAUGCGAAUGGAGCCAAACAGGACCAAAUAAACUAUGAUAUCCAAAAGGGCAAUAUGCCACCAGGAGCAGCUUAUGGUGAUGGUGGAUUUUCUUUUCCACCGCCACUACAUUCUGGAAAAAAUACCGAAUCAGAUGUUAAGUCUUCAUGGUCAAAGAAGGAUGAUUAUUCAAUCAAUGAUCCUGAUGACUGUCAAAAUGGCACGGUAUCAGAUGAUACACUUGCCACAUGGAAGAAAAGGAACAGUGUCUCUUCCCUAAGGAGCUCUCGAGAUGAAAUUACUUCUGAUGUUGUUAGAUCAAGAAACUCAAGCGCAUCGUCUGCUCUGAACAAUACUUAUGAUGAAGUGGAGGAAACAAUGAAUGCUCGUCAUCAGAAACUAGAUGAUGCACAAGAAGAGGAGACCGGUACCACGUUAGAUGACGAGGAAGCAGCAGCAUUGCAAGAACAAGUCAGGCAGAUAAAGGCCCAGGAGGAAGAAUUUGAAACUUUCAAUCUGAAGAUUGUGCAUAGGAAAAAUAGAACUGGUUUCGAAGAAGACAAAAAUUUCCAUGUUGUUCUCAAUUCUGUUAUUGCUGGUCGUUACCAUGUCACGGAGUAUUUGGGAUCAGCAGCGUUCAGCAAAGCUAUCCAGGCACAUGAUUUACACACAGGAAUGGACGUGUGUGUUAAAAUCAUUAAGAACAACAAAGAUUUUUUCGACCAGAGCCUUGAUGAGAUCAAGCUUCUGAAAUAUGUGAACAAGCAUGACCCUGCUGACAAGUACCACCUUUUGCGCCUAUAUGAUUACUUCUACUAUCGGGAACAUUUGUUGAUAGUUUGUGAACUUCUGAAGGCAAAUUUGUAUGAAUUUCAAAAGUUUAACAGAGAAUCAGGAGGCGAGGUUUACUUUACGAUGCCAAGAUUACAGUCAAUAGCCAUUCAGUGUUUGGAGUCGCUACAGUUUCUGCAUGGACUUGGUCUUAUUCAUUGUGAUCUGAAGCCAGAGAAUAUAUUGGUAAAGAGCUAUAGUAGAUGUGAAAUUAAGGUCAUUGACCUUGGCAGUAGCUGUUUUGAGACUGAUCAUCUAUGCUCAUACGUUCAAUCGCGAUCUUACCGUGCACCUGAGGUCAUACUGGGCCUACCUUAUGACAAAAAGAUAGAUAUAUGGUCACUUGGAUGUAUUCUAGCAGAACUUUGCACUGGGAAUGUUCUUUUUCAAAACGAUUCUCCUGCGACAUUACUUGCACGUGUGAUGGGCAUCAUUGGUUCCAUAGAACAAGCCAUGCUUGCACAGGGGCGUGAUACUUAUAAACACUUCACAAAGAAUCACAUGUUGUAUGAAAGAAAUCAGGAGAGUAGCAGGCUAGAAUACUUGAUUCCAAAGAAGACAUCAUUGCGGCACCGCUUGCCCAUGGCCGAUCAGGGUUUCAUCGAGUUUGUUUCAUACCUUCUCGAGGUGAAUCCGAAAAAGCGCCCAAGCGCCUUGGAAGCAUUGAAACACCCGUGGCUUUCUUUUCCUUACGAGCCAAUAUCGUCAUGA
rnacentral:rRNA from 1 species